rnacentral:lncRNA from 1 species
GACAGUCCUUUCCAUUGUACAAGCAUUUGAGUUUUGAUUCCUUGUGGUGUUCGAAGUGAACGCGUUCCCAAAACCUUGAGAGGUUGAUGAUCCAUGGUGUAUCCGGUCAGAUUGAGAGGAAUAAGUGGUGGUGACUCUGGCGGUUUCCCAUGAAAUGGACGCAGCUUGGAGAUGUGAAUCACCGGAUGGAUUCGGCUGUCCGGGGGUAGCUCGAGUUCACAUGCAACGGGUCCAAUGUUUCUUGAAAUGCGAAAUGGACCCAAUACACUCAGUUUCCCCAAGAUAAGCAGCGACGAAGUCUUUGUGCCAAGAUAAGUACAAUGGAGAUUCUAUAGUUCAGAUGAUUUUUUAUGAUUCUUUGUCCAUUAAUGGCCGCACUACUCAGCUACCCUUCAGUUUGUAAGUAAGUAUGAGCAUAGCAGUCGAAGUGACGGGGAUACUGAGAGUUCUGGAACACAUUUGGAAGGUGAUAGAAGAUCUGGUAGCUCAGUUGAAGUUGUUGUCAAAAGGUUUCUAGAUCAAGAUAUAUCUGGUGAGGCACUUGAAGAAUUCAUAAGUGAGGCAUAGGUCACUUAUCCUCCUUCACUAUGUGUAUGUGUCUAUAUAUAAUGCAUGAAGAACCACUGUAUUUCUUUUUCAACACAAGAUUAUAGAGCAAUCAUUUGUGAUUUUCUGUAAGUUCAUGAAUAUCUCUAUGGUGAGUUCCAAUGUCUUGAUUAUGCUACUGCUACAUUUAGAUGAUGGUAAAACAUAUUUAACGUAUGAUAUUUUUUAUAUAUACCAGAAAACUUACGUUAUUUAAUUACAAAUAGGUCAGAAUAAUGAAAAGAUUGAGGCAUCCAAAUGUGGUUCUCUUCAUGGGAGCUGUAAUUCGACCUCCAAAUUUGGUUACAAGACUUUAUUAUUUGUGAUAGGUUAACCUUUUAUGGCACUGUUCAUGUACCUCCAAAAUAGUAUUGAUAGUUGAUUAUGGUUUGUACGGAGUUCUCUUUUGCUUGUUGUUAUGCUUUUUAAUGAACAAUGUUUCACAUUUGUUAUGGUGAUAGAGUCUUUCAAGUUUCAGGUAUGCUAAGGAGGUUCCAUUUGGUUCACAAGAAGUAUGAGUUUAAUUCAUUCAUACUUUUAGAACUUUUUUUCUUUUGAUGUGAAGUUGUUAUUGUUGUAAUGGUGUAAAAUGA